rnacentral:tRNA from 1 species
GCCGAUGUAGCUCAACGGUUGAGCAGCGGUCUUGUAAACCGCAGGUUGGGGGUUCGACUCCCCCCGUCGGCU